GAUCAUGGCUCAGGAUGAACGCUAGCUACAGGCUUAACACAUGCAAGUCGGAGGGGCAGCAUGGUCUUAGCUUGCUAAGACUGAUGGCGACCGGCGCACGGGUGAGUAACACGUAUCCAACCUGCCGUCUACUCUUGGACAGCCUUCUGAAAGGAAGAUUAAUACAAGAUGGCAUCAUGAGUCCGNAUGUUCACAUGAUUAAAGGUAUUCCGGUAGACGA
rnacentral:rRNA from 1 species